GGCAGCAGUGAGGAAUAUUGGUCAAUGGACGCAAGUCUGAACCAGCCAUGCCGCGUGAAGGAUGAAGGCCUUCUGGGUUGUAAACUUCUUUUAUUGGGGGAGAAAAUUACGGUUUCUACUGUAACCGACGGUACCCAAGGAAUAAGCACCGGCUAACUCCGUGCCAGCAGCCGCGGUAAUACGGAGGGUGCAAGCGUUAUCCGGAUUCACUGGGUUUAAAGGGUGUGUAGGCGGGCAUUUAAGUCAGUGGUGAAAUCUCCGAGCUCAACUCGGAAACUGCCAUUGAUACUAUUUGUCUUGAAUAUCGUUGAGGUUGGCGGAAUAUAUCAUGUAGCGGUGAAAUGCUUAGAUAUGAUAUAGAACACCGAUUGCGAAGGCAGCUAACUAAGCGAUGAUUGACGCUGAGGCACGAAAGCGUGGGGAUCAAAUAGGAUUAGAUACCCUGGUAGUCCACGCCCUAAACGAUGAUUACUCGACAUACGCGAUACACAGUGUGUGUCUGAGCGAAAGCAUUAAGUAAUCCACCUGGGAAGUACGUCCGCAAGGAUGAAACUCAAAGGAAUUGACGGAAUCGUCGACCUGC
rnacentral:rRNA from 1 species